AACGAACGCUGGCGGCAUGCCUAACACAUGCAAGUCGAACGAGACCUUCGGGUCUAGUGGCGCACGGGUGCGUAACGCGUGGGAACCUGCCCUUAGGUUCGGAAUAACUCCCCGAAAGGGGUGCUAAUACCGGCUAAUGUCUUCGGACCAAAGAUUUAUCGCCUUUGGAUGGGCCCGCGUUGGAUUGGCUAGUUGGUAGGGUAAAAGCCUACCAAGGCGACGAUCCAUAGCUGGGCUGAGAGGAUGAUCAGCCACACUGGGACUGAGACACGGCCCAGACUCCUACGGGAGGCGGCAGUGGGGGAUAUUGGACAAUGGGCGAAAGCCUGAUCCAGCAAUGCCGCGUGAGUGAUGAAGGCCUUAGGGUUGUAAAGCUCUUUUACCCGGGAUGAUAAUGACGGUACCGGGAGAAUAAGCUCCGGCUAACUCCGUG
rnacentral:rRNA from 1 species